GGUCAAAUCACUCUAAAAACUUUGAUUCUCGUUCGAUCACUGAAGUUAAGCACUGUUUAGCCGUGUCAAUACUUAGAUGAGAGACCGCUUGGGAACACCAGGUAAUG